GACGAACGCUGGCGGCGUGCUUAACACAUGCAAGUCGAACGGAAAGGCCCUGCGUUUGUGGGGUGCUCGAGUGGCGAACGGGUGAGUAACACGUGAGUAACCUGCCCUUGACUUUGGGAUAACUUCAGGAAACUGGGGCUAAUAUCGGAUAGGAGCUCCUGCUGCAUGGUGGGGGUUGGAAAGUUUCGGCGGUUGGGGAUGGACUCGCGGCUUAUCAGCUUGUUGGUGGGGUAGUGGCUUACCAAGGCUUUGACGGGUAGGCGGCCUGAGAGGGUGACCGGCCACAUUGGGACUGAGAUACGGCCCAGACUCCUACGGGAGGCAGCAGUGGGGAAUAUUGCACAAUGGGCGGAAGCCUGAUGCAGCAACGCCGCGUGCGGGAUGACGGCCUUCGGGUUGUAAACCGCUUUCGCCUGUGACGAAGCGUGAGUGACGGUAAUGGGUAAAGAAGCACCGGCUAACUACGUG
rnacentral:rRNA from 1 species